rnacentral:rRNA from 1 species
UACGGGGGGGGCAAGCGUUGUUCGGAAUUACUGGGCGUAAAGGGCUCGUAGGUGGCCAACUAAGUCAGACGUGAAAUCCCUCGGCUUAACCGGGGAACUGCGUCUGAUACUGGAUGGCUUGAGUUCGGGAGAGGGAUGCGGAAUUCCAGGUGUAGCGGUGAAAUGCGUAGAUAUUGGGAAGAACACCAGUGGCGAAAGCGGCAUCCUGGACCAAUAUUGACGCUGAGGAGCGAAAGCCAGGGGAGCAAACGGG